UACAGAGGUGGCAAGCGUUGUUCGGAAUUACUGGGCGUAAAGGGCGCGUAGGCGGCUCGACAAGUCCCGCGUGAAAGCCCCCGGCUCAACUGGGGAACUGCGCGGGAAACUGUCGGACUUGAGUUCGGGAGAGGGAAGCGGAAUUCCGGGUGUAGCGGUGAAAUGCGUAGAUAUCCGGAGGAACGCCGGUGGCGAAGGCGGCUUCCUGGACCGACACUGACGCUGAGGCGCGAAAGCCAGGGGAGCGAACGGG
rnacentral:rRNA from 1 species